rnacentral:tRNA from 1 species
GUUUUAAUAGUUUAACAAAAACGUUGGUCUUGUAAGUCAAAAAUAAGAUAAUUCUUUUAAAACU